rnacentral:snoRNA from 1 species
UUACAUGAUGACAAAGGACCUAUGGUCCGAUAUUUAUAAACCCAGCUCUUCGAAGGCCAAAGGUCUACUGAGAUAAGAAACCCAUUCUGAUA